GGCCCGUUGGUCAAGUGGUUAAGACACCGCCCUUUCACGGNNCCUUUCACGGCGGUAACACGGGUUCGAAUCCCGUACGGGUCA
rnacentral:tRNA from 1 species